CUGGAAGCAGGGUCUGAUAUUGCUCUAGGUUAACUGUGCAGACCUAGAGAGGACAGACUAGAAGCCAGACAUGACAUCAUGAUACACUGAAUGUAAUAAGGAUUUCAUUGGUAUUAAUAUUAGACAAUAAUGCCCAAGAGCAGCUGGUAAUUAGACAGGACAGCUGCUGAUGCCAGCCAUUAGUAAUGUUGAUCUAUUUGCUCUAAAAAAGAAAAAAAAAGUAUUGCAGAUGUUUCCCUGUCAACUUUGUUUUGGUUCUAAUAGACUCAAUAGCUCUUCUCUUCCACUGAAGGUAAAAAGUUCAACCCCUGCAUAAUAGACUUAGAUUGUUUGACUUGCCACAGGAUGUUCUUAUUUCUUUUUGUGUUUAGCCUAGGGCUGUAAAUCACAAACACCAGCCUGCGUAAUUCUGACUUUUAUUACGUUAAUGUAUUUUAAGAGCAGGAAAUCUAUAGGCUCUUGGCUCAGCUCAGCAAAAGCAAAGCACGGUGGGGACUCUGUCGUCAGGAGCAUUCUCAGAAAUGUGCCUCCUGCUGCAAAGGUGACCUCAGGAUAAACUUUGCUUAGCUUUCGGUCAGGGGAAGGAAGGAGCUCCCCACUUCUUAGCUCAGGUGGCAGCUGGGCCUCCUCUAGGAGGAGGAACUCAUUUUGUGAGAGUAGUGAGGGAGGGAAGAGUGGAAGAGCUGGUGGUACUGGCACUGGAGCUUCAGUGCUGAGUCCAGCUUGCAGAUGCAGGAUCCUGUUUGCUCAUCAUUGCAGAGCAGCAGUGGCAUAGCCAAGGGAGCAGCUGAGAGCCCCUGACUCAUAAACCUGGUGCUGUUUCCACUUGGGUCCAGGUGGCAGCACAUAAACUCUGCCCAGUCUCUUCAGGGAAAAAACAGAUCACCUAAGUGCAGACAUUGAUAGCCUGGCUCAGUGGUGUGCCCCUGAUCAUCUCCUGAGCUGCUUCUUUUCAGGUAAUAUCUGCAUUUGCACAAAGGUAAUGCAGCUUCACAGAGAAGGGGCCCCCAGAGAAGGACCUGUGUGCUCCUGCAGAUCACACAGGUGGGCUGGGGGCAGGCUGGAAUGAGGAUGCACAAAAAAACAAGUAAGUAGUUGAAAACCAUCUCUGUCUCACAUGCUCUGCUCUAGGACUCAUUUCUAUUCUUUGUUGUAUGCAUUAUUGCUUUUUGGAUGUUAGCAGGGACUGGGGAGGCAUAGCUGCAACUUGUCUUCAGAGUUCUAUAGGCAGGUGAGACCUCCAGGGACUACACCCUGAGAGCUGCUGCCUGACAUCCCUUUCUGGUGAGAUGAGAUAGAGGGACUAUGUGUAGAGAUAGCAUCCAUCUCAGCUUCCUUGGUCUGCUUCAAUGCCAUAAGCUAUGCUAAAUAAACUGCAGGUGAUCCAAGAAGCUCUACUCAAGCUUCACUGAGCAACGAUGACAUCCUGGCAUGCAAAGCUGGUCUUUGCUUGCAGUGGAAACAGUUCUCAUGAUUGUGCAAAAUCUUGUGUUUGGUGGAUAUAAUGAUAAUGAACUAAUUUGUGUCAACAGAUUUCUUUAUGACCUUGUUGUUUUUCCCUUUUCUUUUGCCCACCUUGUGCUUUCUUAAUUUGUAUGGAGGCAGGGGAGAGAAAUCCUAUUGAUAAGCACUUUGUCUGUAGAGCCAGGGCUCCAGUUAAGGCUAACAAACUCUAUGUUGCUCUGCCUGGGGACAAGAAUUCCCCAUGUGAAAAGCCUAACAUGAGAGAGUGGUUCUCUGGAGCUUAAUGGGAUGCAGUGCAUGUAUGAAGUCACUGAUGAACAUCAAUGUUUUCAGAAGCAAUUUUCAACAAGGAUCCAUCUUUUUGAAGGCAUACAAAAUGGAUUUCUCCUUUUUUAUUGCUUUUGAAUAUCCUACUGCAAGGCUGCUGCUCUUCAGUUGUGGAUGUAUGCUUGAGUUUAGAGUCAUUUUACUCCUCUUGAUCCUUCUCAUUCACAAGGACUCUGCCUAUUCAGGUGUGCCUCGGGUAAGCGAUGCUGAACAGCUGUGGUAAUCAUAUUAUGAGGCUGUGUUUUAACCUUUCUUUUAGCUCUUGUGUGCUGUGAGAAUUACAGCAAACUGGGCUGCGAUAGAAACGCUGCAAAAUGGAAGUUGAGAGGAGAACUUCUUCAGUAAAAGGAAAAGGGUAGGGGAAGGGUUGCAGGAGAGAAGGAGAUUUGAACAAAAUCUCCAGAUUCAGCCUCUAAAGAGGAGGGGUAGUGGAAGCUAAUGCAGUGAAAUGAGCUGUAACAAAGCCAUGCCAGGAAUUAUUCAGCUGUUCACAAGAAUUUUAGAAGAACUGUAAUUGGGAAAUGAUGUGAAUAUCAAACAAAAUGUCACUUGCUGGAAGCCUCACAAGGAGGGGGAAAUAAAAUGAUGAAAGUGCUGCAUUACAUGUCACCCUCUUAGGCACGCUCUGAAAGAGUUCCCUGCUCCCCACUUAGACCCUUUGACAUGCUAUUGUGUGGCUUUGUGUACUUCUGAGCGGGGUGGUUCUCUGCAGAAGAAAUUAAAAUGACGGGAAAGCUGGCUUGUCACAUUAAAUAACAUCACAUGCUUUUCUGCUGGGGAGAAAAACAGAAAGAAAUACUCUGCUGAGUUCCAGGAAAAUAGCUGCUGAGGAAAUGAGUGUGGCAACUCCGUCCCCUCACCUGGAAAGUAACAGUUGUGCCAGUAUGGGGAAGCACUGGCAGGGCUCAUGGCAGACCCGAGUUUCUGCUGUUUGCUGCAGACUUGAUGUCCACAUCACAGAUCUCUCUGGCUGUCCAUAAUGACCUUCCAGCCUAAAUGCUGGUUUUCUAUUUUACUUUCUUAACAUUUGAAGUGCAUUUCUAAAUACUGGGAAGAUUUGCCACCAGCAUUUCCUGCUUUUGUUUAUUGAUUUCUUCUUUUUCUCCAAAUUCCCUGCCUGUCCUUCUUUGGAAACAUGUCCUCUUGGAAGCACCAUCACGGCUGGAUUGCACCGUGAGGUCCCCAUGGUGUUCUCUUUGGCACUCACAGUAGUGUUUCCAUUUGGAUGACCUAUGUGUUCUUGGUCUCUUUGAUUUAGUGCAACCCUUUGUGCAGAAACACGGAGAAACAUCCCUCUACACAUAGAAAUGGAAUCAUUAAGGCUGGGAAGGACCACUAAGAUCAUCUAGUCCCACCAUCCACCUACCACCAAUAUUGCCCACUAAACCUUGUACCUAUGUACCACAUCCACAUGCUUCUUGAACACCUCCAGGGAUGGUGACUCUACCACCUCCCUGGGCAGCCUGUUCCAGUACCUCAUCACUCUUUCUGAGAAGAAAUUUUUCCAAACUAUCCAAUUUGAACCACACAUUGUGCAAUUUACAGCCAUCCCUUCUUGUCUUGUCUCAUGGAGACCAGGGCAGUCACUGAGCCCUGAGUUUGGGAAGAGGAGGAGGCAUUGGCCAGAUCUGCUCUGAGCUUUACCCAAGUGAAAGGAGAAGAUGAAAAGGUGGGGGAGAAGGGAGAAGGUGAGAACUCUGUGGAGGAGGUCACAAGGUCUGUGACUGAGAAGUCAUGAAAAGCGCUCCUAUUUUAGUUAGGAUUUCUCAGUGGUCUCUCUCUCAUAUCUGCAGUCACCAGGAUCUUAGAGGGUAAUAUGGCUUUCCUUUGGCUUUGGUGCUGGGGCUCUAUUGGGGAAAAGGUAUCUCAAUACAGUGCUGUAAAAAAGUGAGUUAUCAGAAAUAUAUAUAAAAAAUCAUAGUGACAAUCCAAACACUGUUACACACCCAUCAUGUUUAGGUGAUUUUUUAGGAAACUCUUCUGGCAAACAAUUUUAAGAGCUGGAAUAGGCAUUCCUAUCUUUCUCUAUAAACCACUUCGAAUAUUUACCAAUUUAUUUCUUAAGAUAAUGCUUCUAAAGAGCAAAACACUCAAAGCCCUCUUGCAUUUUUGCCUCACCUGCAUGUCUUCCCAUGUAGACCUGGGAGACACUUGCUAGCUUUAAAAGAAGGAAAAAGUAAAGAAAAGCACUAUCUUGCAGUGAGCUGUAGAGCCUGAGGCCUCAAAGUAAGAUUUUAAGAUUUCACUCUGGUUUCUCCUAAUCUGUCUUUGAAUGUGUUUUUCUGUUUGUUUUCUAUCUAUCUAUAUUUAACAUUUUGUUGCUAUUUCCAGUUAGAGAAGUGUUGUGUCUGAACAGGGACACAGUUACCACAAAACAUGUGCGCAAGCACAGGACUGUGAGUGGACACAGCUCUGUACUUGGCUGCUGGUGUUGGUUUAUGUAGCAGCAGGGGUACAUAUAUAACCUCAAAGCAGGUGUGGUGGAGCAUUCUGCAUGGUUAAACCCAAGCUGUAAUUCCCAGCUGAAGUAUCAGAGGGGAGGUGGUCAGAAGGAGAUGGAGUAGCUCUGGGAAGUGAAUUGGUCUGUCAUUACAUCAAAGGAGGGUCAGACUGGGGAUUAGGAAAAGGUUCUUCACCAGAGGGUGGUCAGGCAUGGAACAGGCUCUCCAGAGCAAUGGGCAUGGCACCAAGCUGCCGGAGUUCAGGAAGUGUCUAGACAACAAUUUCAGACAUAAGGAUUGUUUGGGUGGUGAGACACUGGAACAGGUUGCCCAGCGAGGUUGUGGAUGUCCUCUUCCUGGAAGCAUUCAAGGCCAGGCUGGAUGGGACUUUGAGCAACGUGGUCUAGUGCAAGAUGUCACUGCUUAUAGAAGGGUGGUUGGAACUAGAUGAUCCUAAAGGUCCCUUCCAUCCCAAACCAUUCUAUGGUUCUUGGUUGGCCCUGUGAGGAGCCAAGAGUUGAACUCAGUGAUCCCUAAGGGUCCCUUCCAUUUUGAGAUGUUCUGUGCUUAGCGUGGAUAUUUGGAUCCCAAAAAGGGAUGCCCAGUCUAAGGGUGCUGAAGAGUAAUUUUGCAUGUAAAAGACCCGAAGAAAUAGUUUAUUCAGGGAAUAAGCACAAGCUGGUAGAAAAAAAAAAAGAACAUGCGGUAUGUGGUGCUGGUCAGCAUUAGCAGACAGCCUCAACUUCCUCAACUUGAGGAAGCUGCAGCCAGCAAGGAGCAGCAAGGCCAAUGGUCUCUCACUUUGCUUAUGUCACGCGUUGUUUAUCAAGGAAUGCAAAGCAGUGGUGCUAGAUCUUCAUGUUAUGACUCACUAACAUACACUCCAGCAGACCUUCACCCAGAAUCUUUGCCUGGGUAGUGCCCAUUUUCCCAUCCAUUAAAUUUUUUCUGUGGUUUUUUUUUUUUUUUAUUUUUUAUUUUUAUUUUUUUUUUAUUGCAGUGGUUGAUCCCUGUGGCUGAGAGCAAACCGUCAGGAUUUCAGGUGGCAUCUCACAUGCUCAUGGAGCUGGGCACCUGGCAGAUGGCAGAACAGUGUUCAGCUGCCCCAGUGUAGCAAGGCGAGUGCUGACCUGUGAAGCACGUUCAGUAUUCUGCAGUGGGGGAAUUUUCAUGCAGUCAAACCUAUAAACUCAGUGGGCCAGGCUGCUGUAAAUAUUUUUAAUCCAGGUCCACACAGUUAGCUUCACAGGUCCAGUGUCUGAUCAGAAGUACAAACUAUUCCAAGGAACCAUCUUCGCAAAUAGGCUUAUGUAUAAUCAAUAGCUUGGUGCAUGUGCGUGCACAAAUACUCAUUUAGUUAUUCUGGUCUGUGAAUGCAUGCAUUAACCUGACCGCCUGGUGCUACCCCAGCCUCCCUCCCCUCUCUGCAAACAGGAAAACGGAAUGCAUUCAUUGAUUUCGCUGCUUUGAUUUAUUUGCCUGGCUCUAAUCUCUGUGCAAGAUAAGACUGCUGAGAAUUGUCAAAUUGCAUGCUUUGGAGAAUUGAAGAGGCCAUUUCCUCUCUAUUUCCUACAUUAUAAGAUAAUGUGAGAUACAUGGUAGCAUCCUCCGCCUCCCCACAAAGCAUCAGUUAAUGGAUCUAGCUUUUAGUGUCACUGCUUUGUGCCAGUACGCACCAUCAUUUAUGCCCUGAGAAACUAAAUAGGUAUUUAUCACUGGUGGAAGACAAUUGAACUUCAAGUAAACAGAACGAAAUACCUACCGGCCCAUUUUCUUGGGAAAGUCUGUCCCUGAGUUAGUAAAAACACUAACUGUUUCUGGUGUUGGAGGCUUGUUUAAUUAGCAUUUUGGGUUCUGUAUCGUGUGGGCUGCUGCUUUUGGUGGGUUACUGCUUUCUAUCCCCUCCCCACCCUUCGUCCAAUACUGCCUCUCAGUGUUGUACGUCAUCUGGUGUUGAAGGGGGUCCCAGCUAUCAAGUACUACAGGAGCUGUUGGUUAAGCAGCAGCUGACUUUCAUGCAAAGAAGGGCUUAUUUUUAUUUCAGGGGAGGGGAAGGGACUUGUAUCACUGCCAGCUGUGGGCAAGCACUGAUCCAGCCAUUUGCUGCGGCUGGGUGGCUCUCCCAUGUCAUGGCACAACCAGACCGCCCCCAGGCCGGAGCUGUGAAGAAUAGCCUGUGGGGAAGGAGAUUUGGUGUCAGCAAAGAGGAGGGGAAGAAUAGAUAGAAACGUGCUCAGGGAGAGAGAGAGCCAGAAGGGAAAGUCGCGGGUAGGGGAGGUCUUCCAUACUCUCCUAUGAGUCCACCUAGAGAGUUAAUGGGAUGGUCUGUGUAGCCAUGCACCCAAGGGAAGAGACCUGCUGUGCUGAAACGGUGGGGAAAAAGGAUGAGGAUGCUGAAAUACCCACAGGACCUUCUGCUUUAUCUCAUGGCUGAUGAACUGCACAGAGUUUGGGCAAACUUUGGGGUUUUGUACUCUAUUGACAUCACUCCUUGGAGGAGAGCACCUCCUCACAGAUAAAGGCUAAGCUGCGGGGAGUUGGGGCAUUUCUCUGUCAAAAGUCUGUCCUGGGUACUUCCCAUCAACCCCAGGGUCGCAUCAACAGCACUGAAGUUGCUAGGUUUGGGUUUGUUAGGGAAAAAAUCCCAACAAAUUAAAGCAGAUCCAAUGUCUCCUUGCCAGCACUUGCUGCAUUUGGCCUUGGUGAAUUAAUUUGAAAAGUAGUGAUGUGUAAUGGUAUGUGACACGUUCUCAUAUCCUUGGGACAGCUGCGUGCACUGGAGAAAUGCAGCUUCCUUCUGAACACAGCGAGAAAGAAGGGGAAAAAGAGAGGGGGGACUGUUACGAACAGCAUUAACAUAGCUUGGGGAUGAGAUCAUCCUCUCCUGUGCACCUGGGAGCUGGGAGGGUUCGUUAAAAAAACUGUUUAGUCAUUUCAGUGAGGUGGAAGAGCACUGCUCUCUUCUGGUAAUGGGUUUGGAGGAGGAGGAGGCAGCAGUGCUGCUAGUCAGGGGCAGCUUGCAGCCCCUGGCAUGCUGCCCAGGAGGUGCAGGUUCCGAUAUAAAUCCUUCCUUAAGUGCCUUCCUGCUUUGUAAAUGCUUCAUUUAAGACAAAACCUGCAAAAUUCCCACACAGCUGACGUUCUAGCCUCCUGGCCUUCCCUGUAUGACUUCUCAGUGAUUUCUAAUGCUGGCUAAAUGACAGGUUCCACCUGCAGCUGGGGACCAGCACCAACAACCAUCACCUGGACUUACCUAAGGAAGGAAUGUGUUCGGUGCACAAAGUAACCCCUGCGUUUCCCUGUAAUUGCAGCAACUGUGUGUUGGACAGAUGGCCAACCCCCAGCAUCAUGUCAGGGGAGUUCUGCUUAGUUUUCUGUGCACCCAGCUUUAAUUACAGCUCUUCCAGACAUAUUUAUUCUAAGUUAACUGCGAUGAUUCUGGAGCUGCAUCAGAAUAAGAUGCUCCUUCCCAGCAGCACCUUCUGCUCGCUUCCCCUAGCUGGGAAUGCCUUCCUGAUGCUCCUCAGGCAGACUUAGCUUGAUGUUUUACUCCCAUCUAGUGCUUCUUUAUUAAAACUGCUGGUGCUCUGCGUCUCGCACAGGGCUGAGCAAAUGCUAUCUUGUCUCUAACCUGGUGGUGUCUGCUCAGGAUACAUAAACUCUGUUAAACACGAGUGACUCGCAGCCUGCCCUGCCAGGACUGAGCAUCUCACGGCCCGACAGGGCAGGUCAUGAGCCUCACUGGCAGCUGGGGGUCAGCACUGCCCCAGCUGCGUGCCAAGGGAUUGCCGGAGAGGGUUAGACCUCCUUUCCCCAUCGUUUCUUCUAGAGAUGAGGAAGCAAACCUUCCCCAGCCACUGAGCAUUUGAAUGCGUGGGCACCACUGGACGAAGUGAAUAUUGUCACUGAGGAAGGCUUUGGACUGUGGGACCAGGUCCCAUUGAUUUAGAAUGAAAGUAAGUGUCUUAAGUGUGUCAAAUACUCAGAAACCACAGGCACUUCCGGGAGUCUUAUUCCCUGUCUUUCCUUUUCCUUUCAUGCUGUUUUGGUACCAAGGUGCUUUUUCUUUUUCCUUUUUUUAAAUUGACUUUUUUAUGUCUUUCUGUUCCUUCUAAUCAAAAUUCUAACUGAGCCUUCUCUUUGAACUAAUUUAUAUGAUGAAUGUUUUAGGAGUGUGAUGAGGAAAUACGGAUAAUCUUAGGCUUGUGAUUGAAUAUUUACAGGCAUAAUACAGGCUUCAAGCCAUCUCUAAGUGUUUGGCAGCCCAUGCCUGACCGAGGAAAUAAGCACUCAGGUAAGAUGACCAACUCUCAUUAAAAUUUAGUGAAGGUCAUUAGUUUGCUCUUACUUAGUGAAUUUUCCCUGGGUGACAUAUUGCCCAACGGGGUAUGAUAGCAUAAAUAUGGAAUUUUAGUAUGUGUUUUUUGAAGAUGAGCAAAGCAGGCAGAUGGGCAACUGGGGCCUUAACAUCACUAUAGCUAUCUCUCUUGAUUAAACUGUUAGCACAUUAAUUAAAAUUACUCUAGGGAGCACGUGCAUGGGGUGGGAAAACUGGCAAUCAUGCCAGACCACAGGUGGAGGUGCUGAGUUCUGGGCAGAGCAGCUUUAGGUAGGUAAGCACUCAUCUGGUGGGUUCCUGCACCAUUGAGUCAGUGGCACCUCUCCCCACUCUGCCCUUGCCAGCAUUACCUUUUAUCUGCAGCAAGGCUUUGUGGGCUAGGCUGAGUAAUGAGAUAGGUAAUGUGAUGUCCCCACAUUUCUUUAACAUCUCUUCCCAUGGUCACUGACAAACCUUUUUGCUUUUUCUAUUGUUGAGGUUUCAUUAUGAUGAACAUAAACAGUUCCCCAUUUUAUACCCACCACUGAACCUCCCUGAGACAUUCUGCUUUUUAUCCUAAGUUUCUGCAGUCUUUCUAUCCCCUCUGCUGCUCACAUGACCACAUAUUCCAGCUUGGAUUGAAACAACCUCUGUGCUUUUUGCUCAGCUGAUGUUUCCUGCCCAAGGUCCUGGUUUCUGCUUGGUGCUUUGGCCACUUGUGGCACAUCAAAGACCCCUUCUGCUACCAAAAAUUCAAACUCCUGCCUCUGUGUGCUGCCACUGCACUUCCUUAGUUUUAUUCCGCUGCUUCUUCAUGAGUAAUCAAAACCCUUUCCUUAAAUGCUCAGUGUUUUUUUGUUUUUUCUCUGCAUCCUUCCUUAUUUCCCAUUCCUUUCAUCUUCCAAUGGGGUGCAAUCUGCCCUGUUUUUUUCUCCCCUUAGUUCAAACCCCAGUGAAUAUCUAGGCAGAGCUGUUCUCCUCUCUCCACAGUUAGAUGUGGCUUGCUUUCUUCUUCUUUUAUACUUCUUUCCCUCUCUUCACAGUCAGUUUAACCACAGACGUGAAACCUCCACCGUAUUCCAUUUAGGAGCAGAGACCGUAUUGCCUGAAACCACUGCAAACCUAUAAAGUUCUGUGUUUGUUUAGCAGGAACAAAGAUUAUUUUUGCAAGAAGGUGAUGAAACAGCAAAGUUAGAGUUCUUCCAGCAGCAGAAAAUGCACAAAGGCAGGCAAUGUUUAUAGGCAGAUAAAUAUCAAAUGUAAUGCACUGAUUAAUAUUCCAGCAGGAUGGACUUUUAUGAACUGGCAUGUCAUUCUGUAGGUUUUAUUUUUAACAGAUGGGAAAGAAAAACAACAUUUGGUCUAGAGCCUCUGUCUGUCUGAAUGAGGUUUUGCUCAUUUGGGGGGCUGCAGCUAUUCUAAACAUGGCAACCUGAUUUAAUUAGCUGACCAGGAUCCUGCUUCAUCAGGGUUUUUUUUUGUGUGUGGAUAAAUGCACUCUAGCAAAACUGACAGUACUCAGAGCUCCAGACUGCUCCCGCCAAGUUUCCAUCUGAAAUGUGCAAACAAAAUAGCUGAUGAAAUAAUAGACAUGCUCACGCUGGAAACCUUUCUCUUUCCUUUUUCAGGGAAAUUGAAUAUCUAUUGAUUUAUCAUUUCUACCAGAUGGGGAUCACAGCAGUAGUUCCUCUGUGUUUUCACAAGCAGUGUCUUUCACAGAGUUUGCUUUGGUUGACAAGUUAUUUUCCUUCUGAUUUGAGUCUGCCUCUAAUGUGUGCUUUUGGGGUAUUGAUUUCACCAGCAGACAAGCUCUGAUUAUGGCUGUUGCAAGGCUGCCAAGGCCCUGCGAUGUGCAGAAGUCUCUUUGAGUUUCUUCUUCCUGAAAGGCCUAGGCUUCUUAGGGCUAGGAUGAAAAGCAUGAGACCCAUUAAGCAAAGAAGCCAAUCCUGAUGCCUAGGAGGGGUUGCAAAGGCAGUUGGAAUAAAAAGUGAUGCCAAGUCCUUUGUGCAUCUUUGUAUGUGGCACAGGUGCCACAUUGACGCAAAAUGUUUGGAGACUGUCUCCCCGAGAAAGUCUGUUGUCUUAAAUGCAAGUUCCAAUUAUAGUACAAACCCAGCAUUAGGGGCUUUUUGUUUUCAAGUGUGUUGUGCUGAGCUAGGCUUAUCAUCAAGAAGACAAGGGAAUUAACCUUGGUUUAUUAAUUUUAUGUAGACAUUAAUAGUUGCAGCAUCAGCAUUUCCUUGAUUUAGCCACGCGGGUACCACACACAGUAUAGAACUGAAGGAAUGCCAUCUGGGAAUUGAGAGCUGCCCAGUUUUUCAGUCUGCCUUCCCAAGGUUAUAUGACAUCAGUCUCUGAUCAACUGCCCUUUCUGUUGGCUAGUUUCCACCUCAAAUGAAAGGGACAUAAGUCCUGGAAAAGUAAAUUCCCCACCGAAACCCUAGAGGGAACCAAUGAGAAAAACAGAAGAAGGUGUCAGGUCUCACUGAAUCUCCUUGUCAGCAACUGGCAGGACCUCGGGGUGUAUGUUGGCUUACCAACCUGCUUAUGAAUAUUUCCAGAUUGGCUACCACACAUAUUGCUCCUUCCUGGUGUUGUCAAAGACAAAUGAGAGCAGGCAGUAGGAGUUACUGCACGUAGGAGAAGACAUUUUAUGGGAUAUCUGACACAUCCAAGGGAAAAAAAAAAAAACACAACCAUUUUUGCUGCCCAGGAAACUGUUUGGAUACUUAGCUGGUCUGGCUUGUUUUGUUUUGUUUUUCCCUCAGAAAAAGUCUGAAUUGUACUGCUUCUUUAUUCCACCAUUCUUUCCCCCUGCAUAUUUCAACUAGCUCCCCUCUGCCAUGAAGUGUUCGUGACAGAGAAAGUAAGCCAGCUGACUGAUGGCUGAGGAAGAGGUUUUCUGCAGGUUAUGGGGCCAUGUGAAGGUGAUGACAGUUACAACAGCGCUGAACUGGCAUAGAAGAUCACAGCAGACCCUGGGCUAUGUAGUUGCUCAAUCUAGUAAUUUAAAUUGCCACCUUGCUUCCCACUGUUGCAGUUUUUCAGUGUUCUUGAAAAUUAUCAUUGCAUGUAUUUACAUAUAUUUACACAUAUACAUAGGUUUAUGCCUUGCUCCCUGAACAGGAAGGUUAUUGCUUGGUCUCAUGUUUUUGACAGCAAGUGCAUCUGGAAUCCACUUCCAGCUUCUGCACGUAGGUGAUUUCCUUCUAGUAGGACACCGUGUAAUCCACACCUGGUGCAAGGGCAGAGCUACUCCACAGCUCCAGAGUACAAAAUCCUCCCUGUCCAGAUCAGCUUCUCGGAGGCUGAGGGGCCAUGUGUGUUCUAGUACUCUUCUGUUCAACCGAAGUCCUCAUUUUCUGUCUUUUUAGAAACCUGAAAAUCCUUUACCUUAGGAUGAGAAGUCUGCUUUGGUCUCAAGCCGUCUCCCAGAGUUAGAGCAGAGCAAUACAGUAUAACUGAAGCUUCGUCUUUUGUGUGCAUAGCAAUGUGGAGUUUAAUUAAAAAUCUCACUUUCUGUUAUUUUUACUGCAGAUGACUGCUUCAGUGGGUGCCCAAGAAAACAGCAGGAUAAACUAACAAAAUGAAGGAGGGCUGUAUAGUGAAAGUGUUUGUUGUCUGGAGGACUCUGGCUUCGCUUGCUGAAGAAGGCUGAAAAUGCAUAAUGAAUGAGACAGGAUACUCCAGAAAGCCAUAAAAUGGUCUCAGAGGGCAUGUUUGAUACCUCUGUGGGGAGCUAGGUUCUGUAUCUUGCUCAGCCACAGGCUUGGUUCCUAUCCCUUGAACAGAAAAGUUUACCAUACCAUGCAUGCUUCUCAGCUUCUCAUUUUUUGUAUGUGCAAGGCACGGCAGAUGGGACUAUUUUUUUAGAGAGGUGUUACCUGCAGAUGAAGUGACCGCAGCUUUGCCUAUGGAAUGAGAUAUAAAAAAGCUCAGAGUUCUAUAAAAUGAACCAGGAUCUAAGCCUGGGUAUUAAAAAUUCAUAGAUGUUUUUCAUAGGUCUAUACUGAAAUUUCCUCCGUGUUGGUACUUUGUGUGCAACAUGAGGGCAGUAAUUCCUAAGUGUCUUAGCCAAACUGUAGAGGAAUCCUUAAUAUUUUGGAGGUACAAGAUGUUGCAGUGGAAAUAUUUGUGAGGAAAACACAAAUUUUAUGCUCGAGGAAGCAAGAUUUGGAAGGCAUGAGGUAAAUAAGGAUAAGUAAUGUGUAUUAUAGCAGCAUGCUAAAAAUAAACAGAAAUAUUUAGCCAUUCACUGAGGAAGACAAGGACGUUGUAUAAAAAUAUAGUCUACAAUCAUGUAAUUAAAGCCUGCAUUGUAAUUUGAAGAAGCUGAAGUAAAGGAGCUGUGUGGGUGGCUUUAGCUCUGUUGUCUUUGUCACUGAGUUUCUGCUUUAAUAGGUAGCUUUUCAGAUGUUGUUGGAUAUGUGACAGCGUGGUAAUAACUUCCACAACACAAGUUUAACAGUGCUCUGAAAGCAAAUAUCUUGCUUUGAAACAGGUACAUUUCACUGGACAAAAUCCUCUCUUUCAUCUCAGUGCUCCUCUAUUCUCUUCACUCCCUUCUUUGGAGAAAAGAAGGCUCCAGGGAGACCUCAUUGUGGCCUUCCAAUAUUUGAAGGGAGCCUACAAACAAGAGGGGGUAUGUCUGUUUACAAAGGUGGAUAGUCAUAGGACAAGGGGGUUUUAGAGUCUCAGUUUUAAACUGAGAUGGGGGAGGUUUAGCUUAGAUAUUAGGAGAAAGUUUUUCACUCAGAGGAUGGUGACGCACUGGAACAGGUUGUCCAAGGAGGUUGUGGAUGCCCCAUCCCUGAAGGCACUAAAGGCCAGGCUAGUGGUCUGGUAGACCCUGCACAUAGCAGGGGGUUGAAACUAGAUGAUCUUUGAGGUCCUUUUCAACCUAGGCCAUUCUAUGAUUCUCCUGUUGCCACCUCCAUGGGACACCACGCGAGGGCCAGCAGCCUUUGGUUGGCCACAGGUCCUUCUGACACCUGUGACCAGGCAUUGGAGGUUCCCUGCCUCAUCUCUGUAUCUCACAGCUCCUGGAGUGGGCUGUGACAUAAAUUCCUUGCAGGGAGUACGGUGUGAUGAGGAAGCUGUGCUGGCCACCCCACUCAGCCCCACUGCCAUACCGUCUGUGGCAACAAUGGUGUGCGGUUGCAGGAGGCAGUGAUGCUGAAUGCAGGAAACCUGACGACGGUAUAUUUUACAGCAUGGCAGCUGUAACGCAGGAUCGUAAGAAACGUUUGCAUUUUGAAAUGCUUUAUCUUCCAUUUAAGGGAUAGUGUUUCUGGCAGGGAAAGAAUAUAUAAGGGUAUUAAAUGGCUUUCUUUGCAGGCAAUUAAACAAGGAAGCCGAUCAAAGACAUUUAAAUAAUUGUAACAGAUGUUUAUUGCCUGAUGCAGUUUACUGCAUCCUAUUAUUUCUGUUACAUACAGGAGAGAAGAACACAUGGCAAACUGUACCGCAAAAGAAAUUCUUUACUGCCUUGUGAGGAACGUGGCUGCUUCUCUGCCUUCUUAAUUGUAUCAUGUUGAGAACAAGUCAGUAAUAAGUAGUGUUUGGAGGGCAGAGAAGUGGCUUACUGCCUGGAGGAGCAGCAGCAAGUGGUGUGCAAAGACAUGGGGUUGAUGGUAAACACCUUUGAGACAACAGACUGCUGUGGGAUUGCUUCAAGAGUGAUGCUCAGCUCACUCACAUUAGGAAUUUCAGUUCCUCCUGAAGUUAUGCAGUUAGUACUGAGAGGGACAUCCUGGCUCAGGACAAAAGUGUUGGUGGCACUGUAAUCCUCAGUGACAUCUGGGAAUGGCCUCAGGUGGGCAACUAGGCAUCAAUAAAAGGCAAGCAUGUGACAACUCCCCCAGAUACUCCUCAAACAUUUUUGUUGUAGGGCCAGAUGUGUUUUCUUUGUCGUUAAUAACAUAAUAACAUACUUUAGUACUGUGUGUUUAAUUCUAUGUAUUUAAAAACAGAUUUUUCUUGCCUUGAAUUUAAGUGUUCAGAAUAGCCUAUGUAGGACAGUAAGUACCCUAGAGGAACCCAUGAGCUUUUCAUCACCAAUUAAAAGAAAGGGAUGUUUGUUUCCCUAAACAAUAACAAAAAAUUCUAACAAUGAUACUCCUCCCAAUCCCAAAUCCCCAUACAAAAGCCUAUAAACAUUCAAAAUCUAGGCUAGUGUCCCUCCACUUGUUUUAUCCUUGGCUUUGACUAAAAUCUGAGGCUUUUUCAGCAAACAUCUCAUAUUUUCAAAUUCAGUAAUGACUUCAUACAUCCUACUAAUAGAAAAAAAGACUUAUUGCCAUCAUUUCAGAACACAACUGGAAUAUUCAAUAUUCCCCAUCUCCCUUCCUCCCUCUUGCUGAAAGAGGAAGACUUCAGGGAGACUCUUUCUCAGAAGGAAUAACAAUUAUUUGAUGUGUUAUUCUUCCUCUACAGAUCACACCUCUCAUCUGGGGCAGAUCUUUUCUCCUCCUUGUGUCCUGACAUCAUCAUAGGCAGCAAAGUCUGCAUUAAAGACAUGAACUAAUGACACAGGCACUGCACUCUAAGAGGUGGUUCCUUCAUGGGCAAUCCACAUUGAGGUGAUGCACAGCAGGGAAGGGAGCUGGCUCCAGCACCCAUCAGGAACUGCUGAAAGGUACUCUUGCUCCUGGGUUGUCAACACAAGAUUUAGUGUGAGUUCCUGAAAGUGUCUUAACAGGCAUAGAAAGCACUGAUUCCCUCAAGUCUGCAGAAACAUGAUGCACAGCAACCAUUAGCACUGGCUUACAUUGCAGAACAAAUUCUGUGGCAGGAUGAGCCAGGUGCUAUGAUAGCUAUGAAAUAGCUAUGAAAUAGCCAUGAUGCUAUUUCAUCUGAGUGAGAGAGGGAAUGAAUUUGGGUCCUGGGGAAGCAUAGAAAGUGGAUGUUAUGCAACUCCUGAAAGAAUCAAGAGCUGUGGCUGUAGCAACUGCCAAUAAAUAUACUCAAGUACUACUCUGCUGGGAAUAUCUACAUGAGGCAUGAAGUGUGCUUACACCAAAUUACCUGAGGACCGCAUGAUGUCAGUCACAAGGAAAACAAUGCUGUGGGUCUUGUAGAUGGUCCUCAGCCUUGCUAUGACAAGAAGGUGCUGAGUGUUUGAAUGGCUCCCAUCCACUGUGAUUGCAUGAAGACAGGUGGGUCUCUGGCCAUGCCUACUCUCAACCUGCAUGGCAUGUUGUCUGACACUGGUAAGGAGUAUCUAAAAUCUACAUGAGGCAAUCAACAUCAUUUUGUGGACAAUUUUACAUUUGAAAGCAUCUCUCUGGAGCUGUUUGUCUUCAAAACAGAGAGCCCAGGAGUGUUUAUUGCCUGUAGGCUUGGCCUGGGAGAAAAUGAAACCAGCUUGAUACUGGAGACUGGGAAAUGAUACCAUUGUAUCCUGUGAAGGCAAGAUGCAAGCUGGCAUCUCCCUGCUUCCUCUCAUCUGUAACUCCAGAAGAACUGUCUUGGACACUUUGGACUAAAAUGUUUCAAUGCUUUCAGCUCAGAGCAGCAUUUGGAGACCAAGUUUUUCUUCUGGUAAAACAUAAACUACAGCACAGAAAUAGAAGUAAAACAUUUGUUUGCUCAGCUCUAGUAACGUGGUGCCGAGGCAUGCCCGCAGGUAUGCUUGUACUGUAAUUGCUGCAGCUGUUAUUCUGAAUUGAAUACUUUUCCUUGCUUGCUCCUCUUCCUCUUCAUGCACUGUAGUUUUAUAAAGCUCAAGUUGCUGAUGAUGUGCUGCACAGGAUGGUUUUGAUGUGUUGUCUGGGCAAGACUAUCUUUGACAGCUACCUUUUACUCGCUGGGAGAAACAGGUCUAGGACGUGAUUCCUGCUCCUUCUUGCUACUCUCUAAGUGUUGUUGCAGGUGAAAAGGAAACAUGCCUCGUACAUAAAGUCACUAAUUUAUUAGUAGCAUAAUAGAAAUAUCAAGUCUAAUCCAAGAAUUAUUAUUGAUGCAGAUCUGGUUAUAGAAAGAGGAGGAAUACUAUGAAGAAAAGUCUCGGUAAUAACAUGGUUCAGGUUGUUACGUGUUUAACAUCCUAGUUUCUACACCUUUUUUUUGUGCAAUGCUUACACUUCCAGUGGGCCCAUGUAACAUCAAAAUUUACUGUUAAUAUUGCCUUUUGUUUGUGCUAGCUACUAUGUCUCUAUUCUCUUCAUUAUAAAACUGGUUUUGUCCAGCUCCAGCCUUGCAUUUCUUUAAAUGAACACUGGUGGGUUUUUUAUAACCAUGGGAUCACCAAUGCCAGCCUGUGCUGCUUCUGUUACCAUCCUAGGUCUGUGCUGCUCCUCACCAUGUCCUGUGGCUCUGCCUCACAAGGUUCUCUAUAAUGUAUCAUUAUGUUAGAUUAAUAAAUAUCCCAUUCUUUAUAUAAUCACUGCUUGUUACUGCGGUCUAUAUAAAGUCAUGGUUGCAGCCUGUAAAGAUAAACAAAAGUAUAGUAAGCUAUCUAUAGCCUCCUUGUAAUCUGAAAAAAAAACUGCUAUUACAGAUGAACCAAGUAAAAUAAGCUGCAGGUGGGUCAUGAGAAGACCAGGCAUAGCCAGCCUGGAGAGCCUCUGUUGAGGCCUUGCAAGCUUGGUACAGAGUUUGUGGCUUGUUCCUAGCACUGGCAAUACUGAUUUCUUGUGCUCUCAUGAGCUUCCUUAUUUGUUUUGAUGAUGCUUCUGAGUUGCUCUGAUCUAAUGGCACUUGCCCUUUCCUGGUUCAGUAUUUCUUUCACAUUUUUUUUCUGUUACGUGGGGUCUGCAGGAUAAAUACCACUGGGUGGGAGAUGGGUAGGGAAAGGAGGAAGGUGAGCAAAGGAGAAUCAGUCCACCCCAGCAGUGGGAUGAGGAUCAUCAUCUCCACUUCUCAGCACAAACAGAUUUUACUAAACUUCCUGUAAGUUUGUCAAGAGUCCUCUUAGUGGUCUUUGACCUUCUGCUUGUCCUGGCCAUCUUAGAGUGUAGGAGCUCAACAAAAUCUCUCUCCUCUGCUUCCUGACUACUCAAGGCAUCCUUCCUGGAAAGAAUGAAUCACUCCCCAAGUGUCAUAGGAAAGACCAUAAGCUUUCCUUAAAGCUAAAGAAAUUCCAGUGUAAUUUCUCAGCUCCAGUGUGGGUCACUCCCUGGCACACCAGCGGCUUUCUUCAUGAACAGAAACCACUCUGCAUAAAUUGCGAUGGCAGAAAUGGGCCCGAGCAAACAAAGACAAUAUGAAUUUGGCUAAAUAAUGUAGAGACAUAAAUUUAAGGACAAAGGUGAACUGAAAAGCCUCCCAUCAGAGGUUGUCUGCACCUGCCCAUGCCAGCUCCAAAGGGGACUCUGCACCAGGGUGUCUUGCCCUUGGUCAGCUUUUCAGCUACACCCAACAAAAUCCUGUACUUCUGGAGCAUACCAGAGCAUUCCCACUUGCAGCUCCUUACCAAGUGAUAUGUGCAGAUCCCACCUUUGCCAAAUCCACUGCAAAUGUUUCCUGUUGAGACCCAGAGUCUCUCUUGGAGGCCCUGGGCCAGCUCUGGGGUCCACCUCACUGAUUGAACUCAGUGGGGUCACCCUGAGGACCAGCAGAUGGUAUCUGGCUUUUAGCUUCCUUCCAAUCUACCGUUGUCACAACUUGAAAACAAGCUAAAAACUGCUUUUCAUAAUUUCUUUCUUAGGCAAAACUCUUAGCAACAACCUUUUUGUGUGUUAGAAGGCAAUAAUCAAAUCACUCUGGCCUUUUGCUGAAGCAGAACAAAUCCAUGGCUGUGUUCCCAGCUGUAAACAAAGGUAAGCAGAUGUGGGACUGUGGUCAUCUCCUUCCCAGCAGGAGGGAUUAUCAGCACAACUCCAUAAAUAAUGAAAAUGUAAAUGGGGCAUAAAAUUCAUUUUUAGAAGAAGCUGGAGGCACUUUGUGUGCCACUUCUGAAGUUUUGGUGGAGAGUUCUCCCUGUCUCACCUUAUAAAAGUUGAGUGAUUUUCUUCUUGGUGAAUAUUUAAUAACUUUCAUGUGCUUACCUGAUCCCCUCUCCUCCUCCCCUCCUUCCUUCCUUUUGUAUUCUUUUCAGUGUUGUGCUUGCUUACUUCUUAAAAUGAUGAGUUCUUUUACCAUCCACCCCUACUUUCCAUGUCUAACUAUCUUUCCCCUUCUUUCUUCUUCCUCUCUCCUAUUCAGACUGUUUUGUAUCCUGCAGGAUCUCUCAGCUGCACACUGGCGCCUUCCCCAGAUCCUAUUGCAGCCUUUGGGCAUCACCUCUUGUGCUUGGUUAUGAGUUUUCAGAAGCAGUGUCAGAGUAGCUGUCAGGAGGGAUGCUGAAAAUAUUAGAAAUUCAUGGAAACUACUGUUGUAUUCUCAGUUCGGGUCUCAUCACUGAGCAUAGAAGAUGGUGUGUAUUACUAUUCUCUAUGUACAUCUUCAUUAUCGUUGCCAUCUGCAGAUAAUUUUAGAGACUUAUUCUGUUCUUGAGAGGAAAAAAAAGAAAAGCAGAACAAUCCACUCUGCUGCAAGGCUGCUAGUCCUGACAUAGUGUUGAUGGUGGUAGAUUUCAUAUCAAAACAGCAUCUGCCUUGCAAACAAGGAGCAGCUGGGCACUGGGUGCACCCAGGAGGAGAUGGAGCUUCCCCUGGCACGGGUUCCCUCCCUGCAAGUUGUGGGGCCACUCCAGAGAUGGCCCUGGGGGAUGGGCUUUCCUCAUCUGCACAAACACUCUGCCUAUUCCUUUUCUGGGAUGAGGAAGCUGCUGAGCACCUAUUCUUGAUCCUUAUGUGAACAUCAUGUCACAUGAGGGAUGCUCCUACCACAGGUGGCAUGUAUACAGCAGUGGAUUUUGUUGUUUUUUUUUUUUUACAUACGGGACUAGGGAGCUCCUGGUGACUGUAGAUAGACCCCAGAAGAUCUCAGGCUCAUCUCCAUGAGGAACCUCUGCUGGAAGGUUGGUAAGGGGUUAACAUGUUUUUGAGUCUUUGAGUGACUUUUAAGGCUUCAUUCAGUGAUUCUGACAGUGUGAAGUCCUAGCGUUUUGGGGAGGGGAAAGUAUAACUGCACAGCAAACUUGGUAGAAGUGUCUGGAGCUGCUGCUGAAUUCAUUGAAACCAGUUGGGUUUUGGCAUUUAUUGAGGAAGGUAGAAGUAACAAAACGAGUGUAUGGCUCUCUUUAAAUGAGCCAUGUAAUGAGACUUCCUCUUACCCAUGAGUGGCAUGAGCUUUCAGAAGAGUCACCACUUGGAAGAACUGUUUGGAAAUCCCAUGAUGCAUGAGCUCUGCUUUGUGAAAGGUUGGCAGCUAGCAUGGGAUUUUGCAGAGGCUGCUUCCAGACAUCCAGGAGGCACGUUCUUGUCAGAGGGCACAGGUUUGCACUGGCACAGCACUCUGUCUUGGCCACAAGCAGUGUCCCUGGCAACUGGCUGCUCCCAAGAGUGUGCCCUGUCACUGGGCAUUGUAACCCAUGGGACAAAGAGCAUCAGUGCCAUGUUACUGUGAGAGCACUCAGGACUGUGGCAGUCCUGUCCCCUGAGAAAUCAGGUUGACGUUUCUCAUGGUUCAAACUGGGGGGGAAAGUGGUGACUAUUUCUGUGGAAUGUAAAUUAAAGAAAGAUAUGUUUGGAAAUACUGCUGAGUCCUGAUCAUCUCAGGGUUGCUUCAUCUUUUUUUUCCCUUUUUUUUUUCUUUGUCUUUGUAGGCAUGUCAGAAUAUUGAAUAGCAUGAAGUUUUAUAAAAUAGAUAUGCAAAAUUUCAAAACAUGGCAGCAAGCAGAAAUUUAGGCCAAUAAUAUGAUAAAGGCAAAAUGAUGCAUUUAAAUAUUAUUCAAAUGAAGUGAAGUAGCUAGAACCUCUCUGCCCAAUUUCUUCUCUGUCAAACUUGUUAGGCACUAACAUGUUCCUAUGAACAUAUUUUCAUUUUGACCAAAAAGGCUUUUUUUUUUUUCUUUUUUAUCCAUCAGAGAUUGUCUUGUUGAUAAAUUUUAUAUGGUUCUACUUCUGCAUCUGUGACACAUCAUGUUCUACAUCAUAUCCUCCCAAAAGCUGAUGAGGAUACCGCCUCUGCAGGAGACAGUCCCUUUUUCUGAGUGAACAGUAGGGCUUUUCCUCAAGAGUGGGGUUGGGAGAAAAAAACUGCUUUGAUCCAAUCCAGAACGACAACAUCCUGUUGUCCUCUUGUUGAAACGAAAAACAUUAUAAAUUGGAAGCAAAAAAAAAAAAAUUGCUCUACUCAAAUCAUUUAACUUUAUUUCUGUUCUGAGCAUCCGUUGGCCAAAGUGAGACAAUUGCAGCAAAUGCUGGGUUUAGGCACAUCUCACAGGUUCCUGUGAAUUGUGGUAGCCAUUUAGCACAUACAGAUGAACAUUAAGACACCUCCUUUGGUGCCUGCAGCACUCAUUGCUGGGAGCCCUUGGAGAACCCAGUUUAACCUUGUCUUUCAUUGGGCGGCAUUUACAUCCACGUGCCCCUGGAGACUUCCCUAAUGCCAUGAAUUGGGCAGUAUCCUGGGAUGGAAAAAUGCCAUUUCUCACAUUGAUGGUUUCCAGUAGCUAUAAAGCACUCCAAUGUUUAUUGGAACAAAGGCUGGAACAUAAGGGUUUCUCCUCUGAGCCCAGUGCCCUCAACAGAUGACGACUGAACUGGCUCAUCAAAUGUUUUAGUCUUUGUGGAAAUUAUAUCAAUUCCAUCAGGAGAAAAUGAGGAAAAUUUACCUCUGAGUGCCCAGAACCAAGCUGGUAAUAUUACUGCCCAAAAAGCUCUGGGAGUCCUGGUUACAGUCAUCUCCUCUAGUCUGGCAGACCUGACUCCAGGUUUGAUGUCAUCCAGGCAUCUUUGAUUUCUUUUUUGUGCUCACAGGGGAAUAGAGAGAAGGAUGGCAAGGGGGUCCCCAGUGUGUUCACGGGAGAAGCAGCAGAUUUAAAAUAUAUUUGCAAUACUAGCGAACAAAAAUGUUUGCUCUACAUGCAAUCCCCAGCAGUUUCUCCUGCCCUUGGAGGCAGACGGAGUGAAACUCUCGGUGUUGUCUCCUGGUCUUUGCCUCCUUCCCUGUUUUUGCACUGGCUAAUGCCCAGAUGAGUCAACCUCUGCAGUCACGUUAAGUAACAUGAUGUGGAGGUCUGUAGAACAGGAUUUGGUGUCAAGGAGGGAAACAGGGAGUGCUGAUUUAAGGUCCCUGCAGCUCUCAUUUCAUGUCAUGAAAGAGAAAGCAGAGAACAGAGUUGCAACUCAGGGACACAGAGCCAUGUGGUGCGUGUGCUGAAGGAGAGCUGCUUGCUGAAACAAAUCUCGUGGUUAAUGACUAGCACCAGGAGUUACAUCUGAAGUUACCAGUUGACAGUGCUCGGCACACAUUGAUAAAACUCCAGGGAGGUGACUUGUCUUGCCUGAUGCCAUUUUUUAGGUCAUGUAAUACGAGAUCUGGGAACAGAGGGGGAAAUAAUUUGUCUGUGUUAAUAAAAGCUUACAGACCUCUGUGGAUUUACAUGCCUCUUUGCAAACUUAGAUGUGUUUCUUACCUCAGGGAGUUUAUAUCUCCAAACCUUUCACAGGAAGCCCACUGAAUAAAUUCAGUUAGUUAUUUGGACAGGAUCAGUGGUGAGAUGAGAGUCAUCUAGCUCUGACUUUAGAAGUGAAUUGGAAGUCAACACCUGCAUGAGGUAAAUUUGAAGCAUUAUGCAAACUUACUUGUUUAAGCUCCUGACUAAGAAGCUUUUUUGUUUGCUUCCUUAUUUUUGUCAUGAUUUCCUCUUUGUACCAGAAACAUGCAAAAUGGUGCUGCUUUCUGCAGCUGGCCCCUGCUGUGCCUGACCAGUAGGGCUGCAAGUAGGCAGACAUCUGCUAAGCGCCAUGACACAUGAUUGCUGGAGCUGAGCAGCAAGGAGGAGCCCAGGCAGACCAUCCACUAUAGCAGAACUGAAUUUUUGCCAUCCUCAAGAAUCUGGAAAAGCAAAGACCUGGCACUGACUGUGCUUAAGGCAGUGACUUUGUAGUCUUUGUCAGGGUGCUGCCUGAGGCUAGCUUCUGCUUGGGUUACACCAAAGGGAGGAAGGUCUGCAUGAGUUCUUUAGGGACCUCUAAUGAAUAUUAAGGGCUUUAGCAAUAUGAAACUUGCUUGAUUUUUGGGUCUGAGUGAAGUGUUGCUAUGCUGUGGUGAACCUGAACUUUGCUUCCUUGGUCCAAAGGCCUUUCCACGCCUUAAAAUAGAAAGAAGGGAGUUGUGUUCAGUUAAGUGAAAGGCACAUUACCUUGGACCCAUCUUUGUAACAAGCUGCUCCCGAAUUGCAGUUCCAAUCAGAUCCAGAGACUAAAGUUGUAGCUGGAGCCCAUUGACAUCAUUAAUGGAAGUGUUUCAUUUAAAGCAGCAAGGAGCUGGCUGGCUGUAGUUGUGAGAAGCACCUCUUGCUGUUAGCAGGCAUUGGUCCUGCUGCGAAGGGGUUAAAUGAAUUCUGCCGGCCCUGGGGAAUGGGGAACUCAUUAUUUUCUUGGAGCAGGGAGGGGAGAGGGGAGGAAAGCUGAAGCCAGAGACAGAGAAAAGCCUUACAAUGAGGCCUCCCAGCUGCCCUUGGUAUAGGGUGCAGGACAAAGGGCUAGGAGGGCUGGGGCAGGCUCCAAGCUGGGCACGCACUGGCAAGUGGGCCCUGGCCAUUCAUGGCUGGCAUGGGGGCUAUGUGCCCAGAGGUGAUGCUGGACAGGUGGUUUGAGUUCAGUUAGCUGAACCUGUUGUCUGCACUUUUGCUGAGUUCUGUGGGAGCACUGGCUGAACCAGCGCCUGCUCAGCCAGCACACUCUGUUGCCUGACCUGCAUGGCCAUGUUGCUCACGUCAGCUGUGGGGUGACUCAGUCAGGGGUGGCAGUGAGAGCUCCAGUCUUGUCUUCUGCUGGGCUGACCCUUGACCUGAGCUUGAAUGGAAAGUGCUUCAUUAAUUUGGACUUCUUUUUUCUCCUAAAAAUUCUGUCACUUUAAAAGAUUUCAUUUCACUAGGAUUCAUAGAAAUCAAGAGGUACAGCUUCCUAACAUCCUUUAUUUUCUGACUUAAUGGCUUUUAGAGCUGCAUUACAGCCAAAAAGAAAGAGGAUGAGAGAAAAGUGUUAAUGUAGGAGCAAAGAAGGUCACUGGGAAACCUGGCUGCACAUUCAGAGAGAGAUUUUCCUGUGUCCAGGGAGUCUAGAGCCAAUGCUAAGGACAGCCCUUGAAGAUGUCAACAGACAAAAGAGAAAUAAGCCUAAAUCUAAAUCCUGGUCUUAAUAUACUGAAACCUCUGGGAAUCCAGAUCUAGCUCCACUCAGGUGCAUUGCAUUUCAUAGGCAGGGCAGAGACAGAGUUUUGGUUUAUUUUUUUCCCCUCUUUUUCCUGAGGAAAGGAAACAAAAGGGAACACUUUGGGUCACCCUAAUGAACCAGAUUAUGACAUUGUUUUAGCACUGUUUUACCUAACAUCUCAAGUAAGAUGUUAGGCAGCCUGAGGCACUUGUAGGUCAUGGUGCCCCCAAGCACCACCCGGAGCACCCACCUCUGCCCACAGGGCAGGGCCUCCAGCCCAGCACCCCGCCUAGUCCCACCCAAGCUGUGCUCCUUGGGCCCCUCCUCCUGGACGACCUUGGGCCCACAUCACAGCCUGGGUUUCUGCACCAUCUGUUGCUAAUCCUGUCUGAAACCAUCUAAACCCUGGUCCUGACUCACCCC
rnacentral:lncRNA from 1 species